UACGAAGGGGGCUAGCGUUGUUCGGAAUUACUGGGCGUAAAGGGCUCGUAGGUGGCCAACUAAGUCAGACGUGAAAUCCCCAGGCUCAACUUGGGAACUGCGUCUGAUACUGGAUGGCUUGAAUUCGGGAGAGGGAUGCAGAAUUCCAGGUGUAGCGGUGAAAUGCGUAGAUAUCUGGAGGAAUACCGGUGGCGAAGGCGGCAUCCUGGACCGAGAUUGACACUGAUGAGCGAAAGCCAGGGGAGCAAACGGG
rnacentral:rRNA from 1 species